GGUCUCGCUAUGUAGCCCAGGCUGGCCUUAAACUCACUCUGUAGCCCAGACUGGCCUUGAACUCAAGACAAUCCUCCUGCCUCAGUCUCCCGAGUGCUGGGAUUACAGGCAUGCUGCACCACACCCG
rnacentral:miRNA from 1 species